UAUCACCAUUUUGGUACCUUGCUUCUCACCUUUAGAUGACUGUGAGGUCACUUAAAUGCAGUAGAGAAGAACCUUUAAGUUGAAGGAUCCUUGGGAUGUUAAGGGAAGGAGCCCCAGCUUAGAAUCAAAGGACAUGGAUUCAAAUUUCAACUCUGCUUGAUACUUCAUUCCCAACACUGUUGCAUGGCUUCUGGUAAUGAAACAGAAAAAAAUUAGAGAUGAGGAUGAUCCAAAG
rnacentral:lncRNA from 1 species